AAAUAAUCAAUGUAGGUGGAACAAUAUAUAGACUAGAUCAUAACCCGUGCUAUACAGCACGGGCAUUAAUAUUUUAUAUAAAUUA
rnacentral:sRNA from 1 species